UACCCGCGCCCCAAGUGGUGGUCGAUAUUAUUGAGCCUAAAACGUCCGUAGCCGGUCUUCUAAAUCCUUGGGUAAAUCGGGCAGCUUAACUGUCCGAAGUCCGGGGAGACUGGGAGACUUGGGACCGGGAGAGGUCAGAGGUACUUCUGGGGUAGGGGUAAAAUCCUGUAAUCCUGGAAGGACCACCGGUGGCGAAGGCGUCUGACUAGAACGGAUCCGACGGUGAGGGACGAAGCCCUGGGGCGCAAACGGGAUUAGAUACCCCGGUAGUCCAGGGUGUAAACGCUGCGGGCUUGGUGUUGGGGGUCCUUAGUGGGCGCCCAGUGCCGGAGAGAAGUUGUUAAGCCUGCUGCUUGGGGAGUAUGUCCGCAAGGAUGAAACUUAAAGGAAUUGGCGGGGGAGCACCGCAACGGGAGGAGCGUGCGGUUCAAUUGGAUUCAACGCCGGA
rnacentral:rRNA from 1 species